GCGAAAACUUUACAAUGCUGGCAACAGCGAUAAGGGAACCUCGAGUGCCAGGUUACAAAUCUGGCUGUCGAGAUGCCUAAAAAGCAUUUCAUAGCAAGGGCCGGGCAAGACCGGUGCCAGCCGCCGCGGUAACACCGGCGGCUCGAGUGGUAACCGUUAUUAUUGGGUCUAAAGGGUCUGUAGCCGGCCGGAUAAGUCUCUUGAGAAAUCUGGCAGCUUAACUGUCAGGCUUUCAGGAGAUACUGUCUGGCUCGAGGCCGGGAGAGGUGAGAGGUACUUCAGGGGUAGGGGUGAAAUCUUGUAAUCCUUGAAGGACCACCAGCGGCGCAGGCGGCUCACUAGACAGUUUCUGACGCUAAGAUACGAAAGCGUGGGGAGCAAACA
rnacentral:rRNA from 1 species